rnacentral:rRNA from 1 species
GUGGGGAAUAUUGGACAAUGGGCGAAAGCCUGAUCCAGCCAUGCCGCGUGUGUGAAGAAGGUCUUCGGAUUGUAAAGCACUUUAAGUUGGGAGGAAGGGCAGUAAGUUAAUACCUUGCUGUUUUGACGUUACCGACAGAAUAAGCACCGGCUAACUUCGUGCCAGCAGCCGCGGUAAUACGAAGGGUGCAAGCGUUAAUCGGAAUUACUGGGCGUAAAGCGCGCGUAGGUGGUUUUGUAAGUUGGAGGUGAAAUCCCCGGGCUCAACCUGGGAACUGCCUCCAAAACUACUGAGCUAGAGUACGGUAGAGGGUAGUGGAAUUUCCUGUGUAGCGGUGAAAUGCGUAGAUAUAGGAAGGAACACCAGUGGCGAAGGCGACUACCUGGACUGAUACUGACACUGAGGUGCGAAAGCGUGGGGAGCAAACAGGAUUAGAUACCCCAGUAGUCC